rnacentral:rRNA from 1 species
GUCUGCCUACGGGACGCAGCAGUGGGGAAUAUUGCACAAUGGGGGAAACCCUGAUGCAGCGACGCCGCGUGAAGGAAGAAGUAUUUCGGUAUGUAAACUUCUAUCAGCAGGGAGGAAAAUGACGGUACCUGACUAAGAAGCCCCGGCUAACUACGUGCCAGCAGCCGCGGUAAUACGUAGGGGGCGAGCGUUAUCCGGAUUCACUGGGUGUAAAGGGAGCGUAGACGGCCAAGCAAGCCAGGGGUGAAAGCCCGGGGCCCAACCCCGGGACUGCCCUUGGAACUGCAUGGCUGGAGUGCGGGAGG